ACCAAACCUGCCACCAGGGGGCAACCCAGAGCACUCAUGGCCCAGCCUGGGCAGAGGCCCCGGCCAGUGGAGCUCUCAGAUCUGCAGCUCUAAAUCCUAGAAUCCCAUGUGGUCUGCUGUAGGGGGGGGACACUUGGCUCUGGACAUGCAACAGGGCAGGUGACCAGCUCACCUUGGGAUCAUCCCCAGGCUCAGUCAGGCAACCAAGAAUUCAGGCAGCAGUCAAGGCCUGGGAGGCGGCCCGGGCAGUCACAGCCAUACGACCAUGGCCAACAAGGUGGAGACGCUGAAGGAGGAGGAGGAGGAGCUGAAGAGGAAAGUGGAGCAAUGCAGGGACGAGUACUUGGCUGACCUGUACCACUUUGUUACCAAGGAGGACUCCUAUGCCAACUACUUCAUUCAUCUCCUGGAGAUUCAGGCCGAUUACCAUCGCAGGUCACUGAGCUCGCUGGACACAGCCCUGGCUGAGCUGAGGGAGAACCACGGCCAAGCAGACCACUCCCCCUCGAUGACAGCCACCCACUUCCCCAGGGUGUAUGGGGUGUCGCUGGCAACCCACCUGCAAGAGCUGGGCCGGGAGAUUGCCCUGCCCAUCGAGGCCUGCGUCAUGAUGCUGCUUUCUGAGGGCAUGAAGGAAGAGGGUCUCUUCCGUCUGGCUGCUGGGGCCUCGGUGCUGAAGCGUCUCAAGCAGACAAUGGCCUCGGACCCCCACAGCCUGGAGGAGUUCUGCUCCGACCCGCACGCCAUGGCAGGUGCCCUCAAGUCCUAUCUGCGGGAGCUGCCAGAGCCUCUGAUGACCUUCGACCUCUAUGACGACUGGAUGAGGGCAGCCAGCCUGAAGGAGCCAGGGGCCCGGCUGCAGGCCCUCCAAGAGGUGUGCAGCCGCCUACCCCCCGAGAA
rnacentral:sRNA from 1 species